rnacentral:rRNA from 1 species
UACGGAGGGGGCGAGCGUUAUUCGGAAUUAUUGGGCGUAAAGGGCGCGUAGGCGGCUGAACAAGUCAAAGGUGAAAUCCCUCGGCUCAACUGAGGAACUGCCUUUGAAACUGUUCGGCUUGAGGCCGGGAGGGGGUAGCGGAAUUCCCAGUGUAGCGGUGAAAUGCGUAGAUAUUGGGAGGAACACCAGUGGCGAAGGCGGCUGCCUGGACCGGUACUGACGCUGAGGCGCGAAAGCGUGGGUAGCAAACAGG